rnacentral:rRNA from 1 species
GAGUUUGAUCAUGGUUCAGGACGAACGCUGGCGGCGUGGAUUAGGCAUGCAAGUCGAACGGUAUGGUGCUUUCGGGCAUCAGAGAGUGGCGAACGGGUGAGUAACACGUAGGUGAUCUACCCUCAAGACGGGGACAACCCAGGGAAACUUGGGCUAAUACCGGAUGAUAGCAGCAGUGAUGUUGUUUAAAAGAUGGCUUUCGUGCUGUCGUUUGGGGAUGAGCCUGCGUCCUAUUAGCUAGUUGGUGUGGUAAAGGCACACCAAGGCGAUGAUAGGUAGGCGGCCUUAACGGGUGGUCGCCCACACUGGGAUUGAGAUACGGCCCAGACUCCUACGGGAGGCAGCAGUCGAGAAUAGUCUACAAUGGUCGGAAGACUGAUAGUGCGACGCCGCGUGAACGAGGAAGCCCUUCGGGGUGUAAAGUUCUUUUAUAUGUGAGCAGUGGGUUCUACGUUAAUAGCGUGGGAUCAGGGAUAUUAGCAUAUGAAUAAGCAACGGCUAACUCCGUGCCAGCAGCCGCGGUAACACGGGGGUUGCGAGCGUUGUCCGGAAUUACUAGGCGUAAAGGGCAGGUAGGCGGAUCUAUAAGUUUUUUGUCAAAUUCAACGGCUCACCCGUUGCGAGGCAGGAGAUACUGUAGAUCUGGAAUGCGGUUGGGGAAGACAGAAUUCCUGGUGUAGCGGUGGAAUGCGCAGAGAUCAGGAGGAAUACCUAAGGCGAAGGCAGUCUUCUAAGCCGUAAUUGACGCUAAACUGCGAAGGUGUGGGUAUCAAACAGGAU